rnacentral:rRNA from 1 species
GAUGAACGCUGGCGGCGUGCUUAACACAUGCAAGUCGAACGAAGAAUUUAAGACAGAUUCCUUCGGAUUGAAGUCUUUUAUGACUGAGUGGCGGACGGGUGAGUAACGCGUGGGUAAGGUGCAACAUACAGGGGGAUAGGAUCUGGAAAGGGCAGAUAAUGAAGCAUAAGCGCAAAGUACCAAAUGGUACUGUGUGGAAAACUCCGGUGGUAUGAGAUGGACACGUGUCUGAUUAGCUUGUAGGCGGGGUAACGGCCCACCAAGGCGAUGAUCAGUACCCGAGCUGCGAGGGUGACCGGCCACAGUGUGACUGAGACACCGCUCAGACUCCUACGGGAGGGAGCAGUGGGGAAUAUGGCACAAUGGAGGAAAGUCAGAUGCAGCUACGCCGCGUAAAUGAAGAAGUAGUUGGCAAUGCAAAGCUCUAUCAGCAGGUAAGAUAGUGAAGGUACCUGAAGAAGAAACCCCGGCUAAAUACGUG